GUCACCACUCCUUUCCAAGGCAAUGACCUGGAAGUUACUGCCCAUUUUCUGGAAAGUUCUAAGUAACCCAUGCAUUUAUAGAUAAUAGGACUCCAUUGUAGUUCCUUUCACUCCUGGCUUUCUAGGAGUUUUUAUUAUUUUAACUCAUAAAUGGGUUUUCAUAUCAAUCCAAUGCUUUGUGAUUUCUAGUGAAGACUGCAUUGUUGGCUUCCGUACUUUUGAGGUUUUGGAAUCAGAUUGACUUCCUUGUUCUUCAGCUUGCAGAUGGCCC
rnacentral:lncRNA from 10 species